GCAAGUCGAACGGUAACAGGUCUUCGGAUGCUGACGAGUGGCGAACGGGUGAGUAAUACAUCGGAACGUGCCCGAUCGUGGGGGAUAACGGAGCGAAAGCUUUGCUAAUACCGCAUACGAUCUACGGAUGAAAGCAGGGGACCGCAAGGCCUUGCGCGGACGGAGCGGCCGAUGGCAGAUUAGGUAGUUGGUGGGAUAAAAGCUUACCAAGCCGACGAUCUGUAGCUGGUCUGAGAGGACGACCAGCCACACUGGGACUGAGGCACGGCCCAGACUCCUACGGGAGGCAGCAGUGGGGAAUUUUGGACAAUGGGCGCAAGCCUGAUCCAGCCAUGCCGCGUGCAGGAUGAAGGCCUUCGGGUUGUAAACUGCUUUUGUACGGAACGAAAAGACUCUGGUUAAUACCUGGGGUCCAUGACGGUACCGUAAGAAUAAGCACCGGCUAACUACGUGCCAGCAGCCGCGGUAAUACGUAGGGUGCAAGCGUUAAUCGGAAUUACUGGGCGUAAAGCGUGCGCAGGCGGUUAUGUAAGACAGAUGUGAAAUCCCCGGGCUCAACCUGGGAACUGCAUUUGUGACUGCAUAGCUAGAGUACGGCAGAGGGGGAUGGAAUUCCGCGUGUAGCAGUGAAAUGCGUAGAUAUGCGGAGGAACACCGAUGGCGAAGGCAAUCCCCUGGGCCUGUACUGACGCUCAUGCACGAAAGCGUGGGGAGCAAACAGGAUUAGAUACCCUGGUAGUCCACGCCCUAAACGAUGUCAACUGGUUGUUGGGAAUUCACUUUCUCAGUAACGAAGCUAACGCGU
rnacentral:rRNA from 1 species